UACGUAGGGUGCAAGCGUUGUCCGGAUUUACUGGGCGUAAAGGGCGCGUAGGCGGCCAGCGCAAGUCAGUUGUGAAAUCUCCGGGCUUAACUCGGAACGGUCAACUGAUACUGCGCGGCUAGAGUGCAGAAGGGGCAACUGGAAUUCUCGGUGUAGCGGUGAAAUGCGUAGAUAUCGAGAGGAACACCUGCGGCGAAGGCGGGUUGCUGGGCUGACACUGACGCUGAUGCGCGAAAGCCAGGGGAGCGAACGGG
rnacentral:rRNA from 1 species